GACGAACGCUGGCGGCGUGCUUAACACAUGCAAGUCGAACGGAAAGGCCCUGCUUUUGUGGGGUGCUCGAGUGGCGAACGGGUGAGUAACACGUGAGUAACCUGCCCUUGACUUUGGGAUAACUUCAGGAAACUGGGGCUAAUACCGGAUAGGAGCUCCUGCUGCAUGGUGGGGGUUGGAAAGUUUCGGCGGUUGGGGAUGGACUCGCGGCUUAUCAGCUUGUUGGUGGGGUAGUGGCUUACCAAGGCUUUGACGGGUAGCCGGCCUGGUAGGGUGACCGGCCACAUUGGGACUGGGCUACGACCCAGACUCCUACGGUAGGCAGCAGUGGGGAAUAUUGCACAAUGGGCGGAAGCCUGAUGCGGCACCGCCGCGUGCGGGAUGACGGCCUUCGGGUUGUAAACCGCUUUCGCCUGUGACGAAGCGUGAGUGACGGUAAUGGGUAAAUAAGCACCGGCUAACUACGUG
rnacentral:rRNA from 1 species